AGAGUUGAUCCUGGCUCAGGAUGAACGCUGGCGGCGUGCCUAACACAUGCAAGUCGAACGGGGUUAAGGGAAAUUUCGGAUGGAACUUAACUUAGUGGCGGACGGGUGAGUAACGCGUGGAUAACCUGCCUCACACUGGGGGAUAGCAGCUGGAAACGGCUGGUAAUACCGCAUAAGACCCCGGUGCCGCAUGGCACUGAGGUAAAAGAUUUAUCGGUGUGAGAUGGAUCCGCGUCUGAUUAGCCAGUUGGCGGGGUAACGGCCCACCAAAGCGACGAUCAGUAGCCGGCCUGAGAGGGUGAACGGCCACAUUGGGACUGAGACACGGCCCAAACUCCUACGGGAGGCAGCAGUGGGGAAUAUUGCACAAUGGGCGCAAGCCUGAUGCAGCCAACGCCGCGUGAGUGAAGAAGUAUUUCGGUAUGUAAAGCUCUAUCGGCAGGGAAGAAAGGCCCGAAAGGGAGAUGACGGUACCUGACUAAGAAGCCCCGGCUAACUACGUGCCAGCCGCUGC
rnacentral:rRNA from 1 species